rnacentral:lncRNA from 1 species
CGCCCGGGCGUACACUUGAAUUUUGAAAAUAAAACAAAUAAUCGACAUAGAAUAAGAAAAACUGGUCAAAAGCACAUCAGCCUUGUGCUUCUUUUUUCAAUGGAUUGUAAUUUUGAAUAAAAAGGGACUAAAUUUACUCAAAUAGAUCAUUUAAUAUAUUUAUUCGAAUCUUUUGUAAAAGUCUGAAUCUACUAUGAAUUCUACGUACUUUUCUUAUAUUUAAAGCAAUUCACUAUCUGCUCAGAUUCGAUAUGCUGUUUGUAUUUUUGUCGAGCCUGUGAUUUAUGUCCCAAAAGCGAGACAAAGCGGCGUCAAUAUUUAGGUUCCGAAUGUGGAUAAAGUCUUUUGAAUGACUCUCCGUGAAAUUUUACGAAAGUUGGACAGAAACUGUUUAUGAUCAAAAGAGUAUUCAGAGCAAUAUAAUAAUGCAAUUAUAUCUUUAAUUUUCCCGCAUUUUAAGGACAAAAUGUGUUUCUUUCUGCAAUUAAUAAGUGGUCGCAGUUUGGGCUUACAUUUUGUUAUUUCUCAAUUACAUUAACUACUUGUCGAACCUUC